UAGGGAAUCUUCGGCAAUGGACGAAAGUCUGACCGAGCAACGCCGCGUGAGUGAAGAAGGUUUUCGGAUCGUAAAACCCUGUUGGUAGAGAAGAACGUUGGUGAGAGUGGAAAGCUCAUCAAGUGACGGUAACUACCCAGAAAGGGCGGCUAACUACGUGCAAG
rnacentral:rRNA from 1 species